rnacentral:rRNA from 1 species
GAUGAACGCUGGCGGCGUGCCUAAUACAUGCAAGUCGAGCGAAGCGGGGACGGGUGAGUAAUACGUGGCUAACAUCCUUUAAGACUGGGAUAACUUAGGGAAACCGGAGAUAAAACGGUUACUCAUAGAUGGUUGCUCGCUGCAGUAGCUAGUGGGUAAGGUAACGGGGUACCAAGGCAACGAUGCAUAGCAGACCUGAGAGGGUGAUCGGCCACACUGGAACUGAGACACGGUCCAGACUCCUACGGGAGGCAGCAGUGGGGAAUCUUCCACAAUGGGCGAAAGCCUGACGGAGCAAUGCCGCGUGAGUGAUGAAGGUCUUCGGAUCGUAAAGCUCUGUUAUUAGGGAAGCGUUACCUAAUCAGAAAGCCACGGCUAACUACGUGCCAGCAGCCGCGGUAAUAC